CACUUGCCUCCAUCCUAGCUUCGCCCGCCUCCCCGCACCGGCUCUGCCACCCCGCGUCGACUGCCUCCACUCGUCAAACACCCAUCCCGAUUCAUCUCAGCAUCGUCUUCUUCCAUCCCAGCUUCGCCCGCCUCCCCAUGCCAGCCAACUCCCCACAGCAGCCGCUUCCCUGCACUGCCCGCCUCCCUACGCGGGCUGUUUCCACUACUCAUACCCCCAUCCUGAUCCAUCCCAGCACUGCCCGCCUCAAUCCCAGCUCCACGCAUCUCGACGGCCGGCCACCUCUCCAGAAAUAUGUUUUCGAAAUUGCCCCUAAAGUUAUGAAAUUUCACCGCACUAACUAUUGCCUUCCACGAUCUCGAACAUCAAUCGGACGCACAGGUUCUUCUGAUAAUUAAUAGACGCUUAGCAAAAGCCUAAUUGAAACUAUCAGGAAAAAAAAUCUGGAAAUAGUAGGAUUUGUGCUUGUGUUGUAUUACUUUCUUUUUUCCUCCCCAUUUUGGCUCCAAGGCCACUGUACAGAAGAUGGGAAACCUCAUUCCGUGACCAGACUUUGCACUGCAAAGAUGGUCGAGCCUUUUAGAAAUUGUGCUGUCAAUACAUUCAUUAUCUCAUCAGACUUGGUCAAUUUGGAUACCUAGCUGUUGGUUGAGGCAUUCGAGCCAUAUCAUUGUUGUAUGAACGCUUGCUGGAAAUUGCAAAAGAGAGGCUCUCGUUCUUUGCUGAUAUUACAGCAUUUCUUCUGUUGUUUCUUUCUGAUAUAGAUUUAAUCUGGGAUAUGCCAGCAGUCAGGAUGUUUCCCUGUUAGCUAUCC
rnacentral:lncRNA from 1 species